rnacentral:lncRNA from 1 species
GAGGAGGAGGUACAAUAACAGCAGUGGAAUAAUGGCAAGACAAUUAUGGCGUGAUGAGGACUCGCCGCUGGUGGUGGAUGAAGUUGGAGGAGGCGAAGAAGAAGUCAAAAGUGGCAAUGAAAGGAGUAGAGAGGAAAGGAGGAAGAAGAAUAGGAAGAAAAAGUAGAAAAAAAAAGGAAAAAGAAGAGGAAGAGAAAGAGAGGCUAAAACACGACAUUUAUCGACAAAUUUUACUAACUACCAGAAUUUGUUGGUAAUUAUCGAUGGAUAUAUACAACCAGAUUUGAGGUUGUCGGUAAUUACUGACGAAUAUUGUGAUCCAUCGAUAAAAUUUAUCGAUAACCAUUAUACUGAUGAAUUUUUAGUUGUCGUUAAACUCGAAUUACCAAUAAGGCAGAACAAGGCAAAAAAGUCAAUAGUUGAGAAAGAUAAUGAGAACCACGUGAAGGAAAGAGAAUUAAGAUUCAGGAGAGGCGGUCGAUCCAAAAUAACUAACAACCAAUUGAAGGAUCAUCAUUAAGUGAAAGAAUUAUAUUUGGAGAAGUUAUUUGAGGAGAUGAGGGAAGGAAAAAGUUUGUUGGGAAUGACAUGUUCUCUCUCUCAGGAUCUUCUUUCUCUUAUCUUCUGCAAUUUUCUUUUCAUUGUUCUACAUAUUGUAUUGUCAAUACUUGUCACACAGGAAUUUGUUCCCGAAAUGAGAAUGAAGUGUAAUAUCUUUUAUAUUCUCUUACUAUUCUUUAUUCUUUUAUUGUUGCUGGACUAUUACUAUUACAGUGUGCGACAAACUUAAUCAUAACCUAGUAAAAAUCUUUAGUUCAGAACAUAAAUUAUGGUUAAAGCACAAAGGAAAGUAGAAGAUUAUUUAUUA